rnacentral:lncRNA from 1 species
UUUUCCCACAAUUUUUGAGGUUUUUCCUGGUUUUUCCCUGCAGUUUUUUGGCAUUUUUUCCUGGAUUUUUGGGGCAUUUUUUCUGUAUUUUUUUGGGAUUUUCCCCCAGAUUUUUGAGAUUUUCCCACAGUUUUUGAGGUUUUUCCCUGCAGUUUUUUGGCAUUUUUUCCUGGAUUUUUGGGGCUUUUUUUCCUGGAUUUUUUUGGGAUUUUUCCCACAGUUUUGGCAUUUUUCCUGGAUUUUUGGGGCUUUUUUUCCUGGAUUUUUUUUGGAUUUUCCCCCACAUUUUUUGAGGUUUUUCCCUGUAGUUUUUUGGCAUUUUUCCUGGAUUUUUAGAGGUUUUUUUCCUGGAUUUUUUUGGGAUUUUCCCCCAGAUUUUUUGGGAUUUUUCCCACAGCUUUUGAGGUUUUUCUCUGCAGUUUUUUGGGAUUUUUUCCCUGGAUUUUUGGAGCUUUUUUCCCUGGAUUUUUUUGGGAUUUUCCCCCAAUUUUUUGGGGGUUUUUCCCCCAGUUUUUCCCCAGAUUUUUGAGAUUUUUCCCUGCAGUUUUUUGGGAAUUUUUCUGGAUUUUUGGGUUUAAUCUCCUGGAUUUUUUGGGGAUUUUUCCCACAGUUUUUGAGAUUUUUCCCUGCAGUUUUUUGGCAUUUUUUUCCUGGAUUUUUAGAGGUUUUUUUCUGGAUUUUUUGGGUGUUUUUCCCCAGAUUUUUGAGGUUUUUCCCUGCAGUUUUUUGGCAUUUUUUCCCGGAUUUUUUGGGCUUUUUUUUCCUUUUUUCCUGGGCUUUUUUGGGGAUUUUGCCAGUUUUUU